rnacentral:rRNA from 1 species
GUGUCAGCAGCCGCGGUAAUACGUACUGGGCGAACGUUAUUCGGAAUCACUGGGCUUAAAGGGUGUGUAGGCGGUUCGGCAAGUCAGAUGUGAAAUCCCCCGGCCUAACCGGGGAACUGCGUUUGAAACUGCCGUGCUUGAGUGCGAUAGGGGUGCGCGGAACUUCCAGUGGAGCGGUGAAAUGCGUUGAUAUUGGAAGGAACGCCGGUGGCGAAAGCGGCGCACUGGGUCGUUACUGACGCUGAGACACGAAAGCCAGGGGAGCGAACGGGAUUAGAUACCCCGGUAGUCCUGGCUGUAAACGAUGGAGACUAGGUGUGGCCUGUAUCUACCCGGGCCGUGCCGGAGCUAACGCGUUAAGUCUCCCGCCUGGGGAGUACGCACGCAAGUGUGAAACUCAAAGGAAUUGACGGGG